CCCUCCCUCCCUCCCUCCCUUCCGUCGCGCUGGCGCCCGGGGGCAGGCAGGCCACACCCCGUCCCUCCUCCCGCCUGGACGUCCCCAAACGAGGGCUUGGUGGCCUCUGGCUCUGGCUCUGGAGCAGCCUGUACCGAGCGAGGCGCUUAGUUCUUGUUGAAUAAACUGAUCGAUCGAACAAAGGAAGUAACAGCCACCUCAGGCUGUGCCACCGAGUCGUGGAUUUCAACUGGAAAGGUGGCUGCCCCUCCCCUGCCAAGCUCCGCUGUCUCCUCCUGCAGCCUUCAGUCUGAGGCAUACCAGAACUUUCCAAGGCCUGGCAGGCAUUUAUCUCGUCUUUUAUCUGGCAAUCCUACUGCCUGAGGUUGAGACUGUUCGCGCUGACUCUUGCUGGCGGUGGCAUGUCCCCUGGUGUGCUCUCUGACUUUGGGCUGUGAGCUUUACCGGAGAGGAUGACAGGAGAGCCACCUGACGCUGUGCCCUCAGAGGAGCUGGCCACCUGACGCUGUGCCCUCAGAGGAGCCGGCCACCUGACGGUGUGCCCUCAGAGGAGCCGGCCUUGCCGCUGGGAUGUUUAAGGGCCAUGAAAGUUAACUUCUCCGCGCGUUUCCGUAGCCACCACACCCCGCGAGGACCGGGGGCCCUGGUUACAGAUCUCAGGGAAGAUCUUUUAUUUUCUGUCUUAGAACCUGGAGAGGACAAUUUCUUUCCCGUCUCCUUUUGCUGAUGGUGGGAAAUGUUUCGAAUUCGCUGACUCUGAGGACAGCGCCUUUGUGUGGGAGUCUGGGUUCCGACAGGGUACUUUACAAAGGCCCCCGCACUGGUCUCCCGUCUCCGUCACCCCCGACCCCUUGGUCACUCAGACUGCAAGUCCGCAGGUGGCGAUGCCUCGGUGUCAGCUGCCACUUUGGGUUUCGGCCGCGUCUUCAUUUGGGGCGCUUCCUUUUUUCCACUUUGGCAGCUCUGUAGUGAAGAAUUUUGUGAUCGUUCAGAAUUUCCAGUCCAGCGACCUCACCUGCGUGGUGGCUGCAGAGGGAAUAUAACGGCUUCCGCUCUGCGAUGGCCGCGGCCGCAUGUGCCCUCCCUGUCUUUCCAGCGGCGGGGGCCGCCUGUCACCGCCGCGCUGGCAGCGCUUAGCCCGGGGCUCUUUGUGUGCUCCUCACGGGGGGUUUGCAGUCGUUGCCUGCAGAUGCCAGCGGCAGCUGCUGCUCGCCCAGGAAUGCUGUCCCUUCUCUGCGCCUAGAGGUGCUGGGACCACGGUUCCUCCCAACGGAGCAGAGGCUGGAGUUCAGAGAUUCCCUCUGACCUCGGGCCGAGGGCUGAGACAGUAAAAGGCUCCUGGCGUCACAGGCCGUGACAGUGAGACCAGGCCAGGAGACCCGGGAAGGGGCCGCCUCCACCUGGCGUCAAGUUUGCUACCUGAAGUUCCUUCCUGCCCGCUGGAAGGGCUGCCUGCCCCUGGGCAGGUGAGUCCAAACGUGGGACUUAGGGUUAGGAAGGUCACUAGUCUGGCCCGCUAAAGCCAUCUGCUCCAACCCAGGCAUCAUCUGUGACUAGGUAAUAAUUUUGUAUACAUGUUCUCGAGUCCCUUUUGUCAUAUUUGUGAAGUGUUUGGGCCUUGGGCAAGAAUAAUGAGGGCGUCAUUUCCUGCCCGCCCCCCAUUUUGGAUGCAAACAGCCUCAAAAAGCAAUUAGCAAACUUAGUAGUAUACUAAAAAAAAAAAAAAAAAAACAGGGUAAAUUAGGGUUUAAUUUAAAAAGGCAAGCAUUUAUUCAACCGCUCCAAAAAUAUGAUCAGUUUUGCCGUGGUGUAUCAUACGCAUUCCUAAAAUUCAGGGUGCUAUGCACAGUAAAAACCAUGGGACUUAUGAGGAAAGUGGGGCUGGGGUGGGACACUCGAAAUAUUUCAGUGACACAUUGAAAAUAGAUAGGAACUUAAUAAAAAGGGUAGCACAGUU